ensembl:lncRNA
UAUGAAUAUGCUCCAAGUGUCCACAAAGAUGCAUAAGGGGCUUAAAAAUUCAAAUGAAUCUUAGAGAUGAAAUUGCUGACGACCUGAACAAGGAAGCUCCCUAUAGCUUCUGGGUAAUAUCUUACUUCCAUAAUUCAGACUUAAGAGUUAUAUAUCCACAGAAUUAUUUUCAGACUGUCUGUCUAGAAAAGGGCAAUGGUUAAAGGACUAUAAGUACAGGUAGGGACAAAUGCACCCCAGUCCUCUACACAUGUGGUAAAAGACAAUGAGAAUGGCUGUGUCAAUUUUUUUUUUUUCUUUUUCUGGCCUUUACUAUGCUGGGUAACAGAAGGAAGUCAGGAAAAAUGAAAUGAGUAAGUUUCAUCAGUUAGUUAAUAGUGGUUUUCCUUCUUUACAUUCAGUAAUUUCUAUGACAACUAUAUUUUUAUAAUCACAAAAAUCAAUAAAUGUUAUUAUUCAGAGGUCCUAUAAAAGAUAUUUAACACUUUCCAACUUUCAGAUGAACUGGUUGCUGUAACACCAUGUUCCGGUAAAGGAGACGUUCUAAUAAAGAGAAGGAGCUAUCCACAGCAUUAAUAAGCAGAUGUGCAAGGACAGAUUCUAUUGACUACGGAUGGAGCUGUAUCUUAUCAAUCUAAUUUCCAGUCCAUCUUUGCUUUUUGAGGAUUUAUCUCUAUCUGAAGGGAUCCUAAAUUCUGGCCACUGAGUAAUUUUAAUUUAUAAAAGAAGUAAAAGAGUUUAUUUAAAAAAAUUCCAACAUCUUUCCCAAGCUGCAUAUCUAUAAAUAUGCUAUUUUGGAAAGUAGGAAUAAUGUUUGUUACCAAGACCAAGACAAGAAAAGGAAGUCCUCAUCUUAGCUUUCCUGUCCUCUUCUUCUGAGGCUGCAGACUCAACUGUGCAUAGCUUUUGAAGUGGUGACAAGGGAAGGAAUCUCUUUAAAAAGAAAAACACAUAUAUCCAUAAAAGAAUCUGCUCAUUGAAAAAUGUCACAUUAAUUCUGCAAUUUCUAAAUUGAGCCAAAGACUAUACAUAAGGGAAAAAUUAAUAUUAUACUUUCUGACAUUCAUUUCAAAACAUUUUACACAAGUCAAAAAAGCAGGCUGGCUUAAAGAAUAACACAAUCACAGCAUCUCUUGGCCAGGCUAAAUGUAAUGCUUAAGAGAAGAAGUUCACUUAUUUCUCUAAAUUGGUAGUUUACAAUUGAGGGAGAAAAUAGUUUACAACUAGUCAGUCACCAAAAACAUUUUUCUGGGAAAGGAAAAAAAUCUCAAGGAGACCAAAUGUAUAACUUUUUAAAACAUAUCUUUCUCACAGAAGACUACUCAUAUUUAAACUUGGACUUUAAUAUUCUACUAUCAGAUUUUGGGUUGGGUAGACAAUUAACUUUAGUACGUUUUAUAAUUUUGUAGUCAGUGCUUUUAUAAGUAUAACUGAUGUGUAUAUGUAAAAUUAAGCUAAGUCUUUACAAGGGUGGAAGUACCCUAGGACUUCUUAAGGAAGCAAUUAAAAAAACGUAAUGCCAUGCAUCUGUCCUCAGUUUUCCCCCCUUUCAUCUCAAGAAGGUAAACACGGCAACUACAAGGCAACAUGCUAAAAAAUUAACUUGCAAACAUCUGAUGGCAUGGCCCUGAUGGUAAAAGAUCUCCUUUGUUGCAAAAUUAAUCUAUAAAGCUCUGCCAGCUGCAGUGGAAUUGGACUUAUUCUAGAUACCUUCUCUAAUUUACUUAAUUACUUUACAGAUGUGGAGGAAACCUGAAAAUAAACAAAAAUUAUUAAAUACUUCUAAUGCCAAGCCCAGAAUUCAUGUAUUUCUUGGCAAAGCAGAAUAAACAGAGACCCUCAGGAUUAUGUAUAAUUAAUUUAUUUUAAAACACAGAAACUAAAUUGAUGUCAGUUCAAUUCUUUAUGGGUUAUAAGUUAAACAUGAAAUGACAAUUUUCUUCUUAUUUUAAAGGGCUAGAAAAUGACCACCAACCAAAUGACACUAGCUAAACUGUAACCAAGGGAGAGAAAUAAAGCUCAAAAUUGGCUAAUUGAGCAACUCCUUAAUCAUGCACAUAAGCCUGUUCACUAUAUCACACAGUGUUUUUCCUUUUUGCCAAUUAAUUUGGCAUUCAUUAAGCACUGAAUGA